GCAGGGCGAAGAAAAGCAGACUCAGCAGAUCUGGCUUUGGCCUCGGAGGCUGAGGGGCGGAUAUAUUGCCAGCUCUGUCACAUAGGCUGGACCAGUAGAACUUCAACCAUGAAGGCCCCACUGGUCUGCUUCCUGCUCCUGGCGGUUUCUUUUGCUACGGCAACUGAAUGGGAUACUGAUGGCAUUAUUCUCCAAGCAAAGGGACAAGUGGAGCAGCAGAACCCAGAACCACCAACAGAUGACACCUCUGGGAGGAAGCAACAGGGGGGAACUGGUCCUCCCUCAUAUGGCCAGUGCCCACCUACAAUUACAAUUGUUCCCCAGGACUACUACUGCCAGCUGGGCGGCCCCUGCCCAGGGGAUGAAAAAUGCUGCCAGAUUGGGAGAAUGACGAAAUGUAUUCUUCCAAAAGGAGUGCACCACCGUUACUGCCCCAGGCCUGAAGACCAGCCCGUCUACAAUAAGCUCUGUGCAGGAGACUACCAGUGUGGAUGGCAUGAGAAAUGCUGCAGUACGGAAGGUCAUAAGAAGUGCGUUGUGGCUAUGGCAGGUGUCGCUGGCGUUUGCCCCAAGAAGCGUCUUCCACGGGGCCCCACCCCCAUGGAACACAGGUGCCUCAAUGACCGCGAAUGCGACUCUGGGAAGAAGUGUUGCUUGGAGGAGCAUGGCCUGAACUGUGUAUACCCUGAAGGACUCCACCGGAGCCAGAACCAGAACCAGAACCAUAACCACAACCACAACCAGAACCACAACCAGAACCAGGACCAGAACCAGAACCAGGAUCAGACAGUGGCCGAGGUGUUCAAGAAUCAUGCUGGAACAAACACACACACAGAUACACCCACCCACCCACCAAGGGGUGUUAGGAGUGUCUUACCUCCAUAAUAUUUUGUUCCAGAGAGUAAGUCAUCUGUGUAACAAGCUUUGGUUGAAAUUGCUUGAGGUGUUCCAGAGUUAUGCUGGAACACACACACACAAAGAGAGAGAGAGAGAGAGAGAGAGAGAGAGAGAGAGACCCAUCCACACCCACACCCACAUUUGCACAAAAGUGCAACUUGACAUCCAUGGAUGUUUGAGCAGCCCGAGCAGGGGAGAGAGGCGGGCUCUGCUUUCUGGGGAGGGGGGACACCGGGGGUCCUAACAACUCUCCAAAGCCAAUUCUUUGAAGAACAGAGUUGGAAAAAUGUCUCUGGAGAUUUCCAGUCAUCCAGGUCUCAAAGGUACUUUUUUCUUCAAAAAGCAGCUGGAUUGUUUUUUCCAGGAGGAGGAGGAGGAGGGGGGGAGGAGGAGGAGGGGGAGGAGGAGGAGGAGGAGGAGGAGGAGGAGGAGGUGGAGGAGGAAAUGUUUUGCUUCUCACCCAGAGUUAAGAUUGGCUGGAAAGAAGAGAAAGACCAGGGGAGACAGGAUAGCAGCCUUCCAAUAUUUGAGGGGCUGCCAUAGAGAGGAGGAAGGGGAUCAAGCUAUUCUCCAAAGCACCUGAAGGCCAGACAAGGGAUGGAAAGUGAACAAGGAGAGAUUCAACCUGGAAAUAAGGAGGAACUUUCUGACAGGGAGAACAAUCAACCCAUGGAACAGAAGUUGCCUUCAGAGGUUGUGGGAGCUUCAUCACUUGAGACUUUCAAGAAGAGACUGGACUAAAUAGGAAUAGAAUAGAAUAGAAUAGAAUAGAAUAGAAUAGAAUA
ensembl:lncRNA uncharacterized LOC113427913